CCAAUGAAAUUUUUGUUGCAGUUUCGUGCAGUUGGCCAUCGAAACCUUGCAAAGACAGGAAGCCUCGAGAGCCGGCUAGGUCGCAUGAAUAAUGGCUGAUGCAACUCGGGUGGAUAAUCGAGACGGCGCACAAUCGCGUUUAAACGGGUUCAGUGCAAAGAGAAGAUUGGCGAAACAGGCGUAAUAAUCAUCACACACGCCCUAUUCCGUCGUAUAAAAUCCUUUGCGAAUCGUGGAACGUUUGUACAGGUAGUCGCAAACGUUUCUGUUUCGGUUAAUUAUUCGCGGAGGCACGAAUCGCACGGUUAAUUAGCCAGAAUUGCUGAACAUCGAGUUAUAUCCAGAUCAAACCACGUCCACCAAUCGAAAUGAGGGGUGCACUAGUAACAAUCUCGCGCAAUAAACCAUCCAAGGAUUAAGGCUUAAUGGGAGCCUAACAUUUCUAGAAUUAUACAAGCUCCAAAUCUAGCUGUCCAAACGUCCUUCAAACAUUAUUACAAAUACAAAUCUUGUACCAAAACCUGAUCAAAAUCCUCCAAAUAUUUGUUCGACUUGAAUUUCGUUAAACAACUUUAUCUUUUUAACUUCUCUUUAAAUUGUUAAUCGAUUUUGCCUCGAAUUUCUCAAUGCAUAAACCUAUUUCCUUUAGAGAAAUUAAAUUACCAUCGAUAUUUCGCUUCUUUCUAUUACAUCAUACGAAUAAGUAGAAUUAGAAGAUUGGAAAGAUUGUAAAUUGAACAUUAUACAAAUACAAAAUACAAAAAUCUCACUUUUCAUUUUAAAA